rnacentral:tRNA from 1 species
GGGAAUGUGGCUCAGUGGUAGAGUGUUUGCCUAGCAUGCAUGAAGCUCUGGGUUUCAUCCCUCAUUACCA